AACGAACGCUGGCGGCAUGCCUAACACAUGCAAGUCGAACGAGACCUUCGGGUCUAGUGGCGCACGGGUGCGUAACGCGUGGGAACCUGCCUUUAGGUUCGGAAUAACUCAGAGAAAUUUGAGCUAAUACCGGAUGAUGUCUUCGGACCAAAGAUUUAUCGCCUUUAGAUGGGCCCGCGUUGGAUUAGCUAGUUGGUGGGGUAAAGGCCUACCAAGGCGACGAUCCAUAGCUGGUCUGAGAGGAUGAUCAGCCACACUGGGACUGAGACACGGCCCAGACUCCUACGGGAGGCAGCAGUGGGGAAUAUUGGACAAUGGGCGAAAGCCUGAUCCAGCAAUGCCGCGUGAGUGAUGAAGGCCUUAGGGUUGUAAAGCUCUUUUACCCGAGAUGAUAAUGACAGUAUCGGGAGAAUAAGCUCCGGCGAACUCCGU
rnacentral:rRNA from 1 species